CGAUCGUCCGAUGCAGCGACAGCGCCCUCGGGGAGCGGUGGAGCGAUUGGGCUCACCGGCGUUCUUGGAGGAUCGUCAUCUCCGCCCUCCGACAAUCGUUGAAUAACUGAGACAGUUGAAUUUUACCUUCCCGUGAAUCGAGGAUGCUCGUGUCAUAAGGAGGAUCCCGUCGCACCCACUCAACCCCCUCGAGCUCGUUGCCGUCAAUCUGACUCUUGUUGUUAUCGAAGUUGAGACCAGCGCUCGCUACGUUUCCCAAUUCGAUGAAUUCUUCUUCCGGCGACUUAGCUGCUUCUUUCGCUCUAUCCAGCAGGUCUCUUUCGAACCUUCAUGGAGAUCGGAAGAAAAAAACGAACAUCGAUCAACCCGAGUCCGGGGAAGCUGCAUCGGCGUAUCAGAAUCCUAGUUGGAAAGUCAAGGCUCGAGGUUCGUGUGGGCAAAAAGGACGGAGCUUGACGCGCCUGGGGAUAGACGAGAGAGCGAGGAGCAAACACGCGAGCCACGCACGAAAGAUCGUCGUUGCAAGGGAAGCAGAAUAAAGAGGAGGAGGAGGAAAACU